UGUAGAGUUGAUGCCCCUAGUUCGGUGGCCUGCCCACACUGGGUUUGUGGAAUAGAUCAAGUAGGAUAGCUGAAACCCUGAGCCUCAUUUCUUUUUCCUUCCCUUUCUGUCUUGCUUUCUUCCAGGACCGUCACGACGGCACCAGCAACGGGACGGCACGGUUGCCCCAGCUGGGCACUGUAGGUCAAUCUCCCUACACCAGCGCCCCGCCGCUGUCCCACACCCCUAAUGCCGACUUCCAGCCUCCCUACUUUCCCCCGCCCUACCAGCCUAUCUACCCCCAGUCGCAAGAUCCUUACUCCCACGUCAACGACCCCUACAGCCUGAAUCCCCUGCACGCCCAGCCGCAGCCGCAGCACCCGGGCUGGCCCGGCCAGA
rnacentral:lncRNA from 1 species